AAACGGUUCGGAUUGCCUCACUCCGGCCCGACCCCACCCUUCCCUGCGCCUUGCGUUCCCCGUUCCCUGCAACCGCUAGCCGUUCACGCAAUCACGCCCUCAAUCCCUUCUCUCCUCCUCGCAUCUCUCACGCCGCCCCCUGACCCAGCGCCGUAAUCAUCGCCCGCCUUCCGCAUCGCAAGCGGCGGCCCCUCUACGCCGAUUCCCCACCGCCGCCAGGGGGGCGACUCCCUCACCGAACCGCGCUGCCGGGACACCGACGCCCAUCUCGUCCACUCGCCCGUUCCUCCGCGGCGCGCCGCCGGAUCAACGUCAGUCGCCUGCCUCCUGCCCGGUCUCCUCCGUGCCUCCACCACCUCCCGAAUCCCGGCCUGCCACCACCCUGUCCCGCGGCGGCCUUCGUCAUCGACAGUCUGUCACCGGCGCAUCUCCUUUCUUCCCCUCAUCACAGAGGGACAUCUCCAUUUAGAAAAGGUGGAUAUUAAAUGAAAGGUUUAUUCCAGAUCAAAAUUCUACCGACAUAUAUGCUCUCAACGCAUUACUAUAGAAGGGAUUGAGAUUCUGUUCAUGACCAUUGCUUUCAGUUUCAGGCAAGUAUAUCAUAUGAUCUGGAAUAUUUGAAUUAACACAUCACUCUUGGUUGUCCCAAGAGUCCAUACAACCUGGAGGUCAUCAACAAAAUUAAUAUGAUUUGGAAUUCUUUCACAUGCAUGUCAAUUUUUCUUAGUUGUUAAUUAAGCCUCAAGUGGGUCAAAACGACCAAAAAUCAACAUAUCAAUUCUCUACUGUUUUCUUCUGUACAUACUAGCACAGUGCUGCAUCACACUUUCUCAGGUAAAAUAUAAUAUGCCAGUAUCUCCCUUGCUUUCUAGGAUCCGUUGAUUUUAAAUAUCAGAUAUACUUUUUUCUGGUUGAUUUGCUAAGUGCUGGCAGUACUACAUGUCUAUCAGAGAGGGGUGCCUUGUCUAAUGUACCUCAAGUUGCAUUGAGAUUUGAGAGGGCCACAAAAACAUUCAAGGAUAGGAAGGUAGCUGUGCAGGGGAAAAAAAAGCAUUGAUCAAAUGGUUACCAGUAAGUACGCACAAUAUAUUACUACAGAGGGAAAGGGAGGCUAUAUUACCUCAGUCCCCUUGUCGUCUAUGAAUCCUGCUGGAUGUUAGAGUAAUCGUUGAGAAGCCAUUUGGAAUGGACUUGGACUCUGCAGAAGAUUAAUUCAGGGCCCACCUUGGGGUUAUUUGAGGAAAAUCAGGUCUACAGAUUUGGUCACAACUUAAGAAAAGAGUUGGUACACAACCUGGUAAAGGCUAUAAUUUUGCCAAUAAUUAACCACCUCCGACAUAAUAACAUUUCACAGGGAAGAAGUUGGUCUUCAUGAUUUUGUAUUGCUUAAACAUGUUUACACUUCCCAUUGUGAAUCGAUCUCCAUUGUUCGCCUUAGGUGUAUCUAGCAUUGCUCUUCUUAUUUCAGAAUCAUUCCAUA